rnacentral:rRNA from 1 species
CGGGGUGCAGCAGGCGCGAAAACUUUACAAUGCGGGAAACCGUGAUAAGGGGACACCGAGUGCCAGCAUCAUAUGCUGGCUGUCCAGGUGUGUAAAAUACACCUGUUAGCAAGGGCCGGGCAAGACCGGUGCCAGCCGCCGCGGUAACACUGGCGGCCCGAGUGGUGAUCGUGAUUAUUGGGUCUAAAGGGUCCGUAGCCGGUUUGGUCAGUCCUCCGGGAAAUUUGACGGCUCAACCGUUAGGCUUUCGGGGGAUACUGCCAGGCUUGGAACCGGGAGAGGUAAGAGGUACUACAGGGGUAGGAGUGAAAUCUUGUAAUCCCUGUGAGACCACCUGUGGCGAAGGCGUCUUACCAGAACGGGUUUGACGGUGAGGGACGAAAGCUGGGGGCACGAACCGGAUUAGAUACCCGGGUAGUCCCAGCCGUAAACGAUGCUCGCUAGGUGUCAGGCAUGGCGCGACCGUGUCUGGUGCCGCAGGGAAGCCGUGAAGCGAGCCACCUGGGAAGUACGGCCGCAAGGCUGAAACUUAAAGGAAUUGGCGGGCGAGCACAA